rnacentral:rRNA from 1 species
UACGUAGGGUGCGAGCGUUAAUCGGAUUUACUGGGCGUAAAGGGCGCGUAGGCGGCAAUUCAAGUCAUCUGUGAAAUCUCCGGGCUUAACUCGGAACGGUCAGAUGAUACUGCUUUGCUCGAGUGCGGAAGGGGCAAUCGGAAUUCUUGGUGUAGCGGUGAAAUGCGUAGAUAUCAAGAGGAACACCUGAGGUGAAGACGGGUUGCUGGGCCGACACUGACGCUGAAGCGCGAAAGCCAGGGGAGCAAACGGG